AAGGAUUUAAGUUAAACUAAACUAUUGGCCUUCAAAGCUAAAAAUAGGGGUGUUCCUAAGCCUUA
rnacentral:tRNA from 1 species